CAAUAAUAUGUCUAAGUAAGAUGAUAUUUAAAUGCUUAGUUUUUUUAUUUUUGAAUUUGUAUUGUGGGGGAAAAUAUAUAAUGCAAUGCAAUACAGUGUUGAUUGAGAUAUAUGUUCUUUAAAAACCCAGUGUAUCAUAUUUGAUACUUCAAUCAGUCCAGUAAGUGUUUAUCUUCAAAUUAUACUAAUAAUAUAUGUUAUUCUUAAAAUCAAACAUUUCACAGCAAAAAUACCCAUGAAUCACAACCUGAAGGUCAACAUUUUUACAAAAGGCCUUUUACAUGCUAAAAAAGAAUAAACUUACAAUGAAAGUGAUUGACACACAUUUUUGGAGGAUUUCAAAGUAUAAAUGUAAUGCAAUUUAUGUUAUGAAACAAAUGACAAUAACAAAGCCCCUAGAAAUUUCUUGCAAAUUCAUGAACAUGUUAUGAGAAGGCAGAGGCUCAGUUCAAGAUGUCCAUCGGUAUGCUGCAAGAUUUUGUUAGCUGGAUGGUCCCCUGGUGGGCAUCUGUCCUCUGAUUGGUUUCUGAGUGUCCAGUGGGUUUUUACAAAGGCUUAUCUCAACAUCUAUCCAUUCACUUAUGUGCUUAUGCUUGGUAAUGGUCUCUCCUAUGAAGUGCGGGGCUCUACUUUGAAUCCAAUCACUUAUGGCUAUGUCUCCGGUCUGUCUAGUGCUCCAAGAUCUCUGUCUAAUAAUGUUGCUCAUCUUUUUCAGUGCUGACUGCCACAAACUGCACCAAGAUCAACUUUGCAAGUCUACUUGCCCUGGUAUGAGUAUAUACAUGUUAAUAUAUAUAUAUUUUUUGCUAUUCAUCUAAUCACUCAAUUAGAGUUUUUUUCCAAUUUAGCUCACUUCUGGACUCAGCACAUAUAAUUAAAGUACAUCUGACUUAUGUUUACAGCUGUGCAGAAAGGGCAAAGGCACACAUAUAGAUACAGUACAACCAUAAACGGUGCUUGGAAAGGUCCUUCAUCAGGCGGCAGUCAGUUAGCUUUGGACUGUGUUGUUGACAUUGAUGUCCGACCAGGAUGUCCAGAAAUUAUAUUAAAGGUAUGUUAUGUUCUAUCAGUCAUUCUAUAUAUGUAAUCAUUUUGUCAACCAUAUUGAUACAACUUUUCUUCCUUUACAAUACAUAAUUUUUUAUAACAAGCAUAAUAUAGCCAUUCAGAUAAAAAUUGAGGCAUUUGAUUCAAUUUCAGAUAAUAACCAGCAUUUAUAUAUGCCUAUACCUAGAUUCAUUUGUUUUAAAUCUUUGCAAUCAUGUUUCAUUUAUUCCAUAUUUGUUAUAUUUAUUUGUAUGUAGCUAAGGAACAUACAAAUAAAGCAUAGCUCUUCGAAAAGAGACA
ensembl:lncRNA